AUUGAACGCUGGCGGCAGGCCUAACACAUGCAAGUCGAGCGGAUGAAGAGAGCUUGCUCUCUGAUUCAGCGGCGGACGGGUGAGUAAUGCCUAGGAAUCUGCCUGGUAGUGGGGGACAACGUUUCGAAAGGAACGCUAAUACCGCAUACGUCCUACGGGAGAAAGCAGGGGACCUUCGGGCCUUGCGCUAUCAGAUGAGCCUAGGUCGGAUUAGCUAGUUGGUGAGGUAAUGGCUCACUAAGGCGACGAUCCGUAACUGGUCUGAGAGGAUGACCAGUCAAACUGGAACUGAGACACGGUCAAGACUCCUACGGGAGGCAGCAGUGGGGAAUAUUGGACAAUGGGCGAAAGCCUGAUCCAGCCAUGCCGCGUGUGUGAAGAAGGUCUUCGGAUUGUAAAGCACUUUAAGUUGGGAGGAAGGGCAGUAAGUUAAUACCUUGCUGUUUUGACGUUACCGACAGAAUAAGCACCGGCUAACUCUGUGCCAGCCGCCGCAGUAAUAC
rnacentral:rRNA from 1 species